UUACGGCCACAUCACGUUGAAACACUGGUUCCUGCCCGAUCAACAAAGUUAAGCGACGUCGAGCCUGGUCAGUAUCUAGAUGGGUGACCGCUUGGGAAUAUUAGGUGCGGUAA